rnacentral:rRNA from 1 species
GCCCUUAGAGUUUGAUCCUGGCUCAGGAUGAACGCUGGCGGUAUGCUUUACACAUGCAAGUCGUACGAGAGUUUUUAACUCAAGUGGCGGACGGGUGAGUAACACGUAAGAAUUUGCCUUUAGGAGGGGGAUAACAACUGGAAACGGUUGCUAAUACCCCAUAUGCUUUCGAGUAAAAUGGAUUUUCCGCCUAAAGAGAAGCUUGCGGCUGAUUAGCUUGUUGGUGAGGUAAUGGCUCACCAAGGCGACGAUCAGUAUCUGGUUUGAGAGGACGAUCAGACACACUGGAACUGAGACACGGUCCAGACUCCUACGGGAGGCAGCAGUGGGGAAUUUUCCGCAAUGGGCGAAAGCCUGACGGAGCAAUACCGCGUGAGGGAUGACGGCCUAUGGGUUGUAAACCUCUUUUUUCAGGGAGGAAUCAAUGACGUGUACCUGAAGAAUAAGCAUCGGCUAACUCCGUGCCAGCAGCCGCGGUAAGACGGAGGAUGCAAGUGUUAUCCGGAAUCACUGGGCGUAAAGCGUCUGUAGGUGGUCAAAUAAGUCAACUGUUAAAUCUUGAGGCUCAACCUCAAAAUCGCAGUCGAAACUAUUCGACUAGAGUAUAGUAGGGGUAAAGGGAAUUUCCAGUGGAGCGGUGAAAUGCGUAGAGAUUGGAAAGAACACCGAUGGCGAAGGCACUUUACUGGGCUAUUACUAACACUGAGAGACGAAAGCUAGGGUAGCAAAUGGGAUUAGAUACCCCAGUAGUCCUAGCCGUAAACCAUGGAUACUAGAUGUUGAACAGAUCGACCUGUGCAGUAUCAAAGCUAACGCGUUAAGUAUCCCGCCUGGGAAGUAUGCUCGCAAGAGUGAAACUCAAAUGAAUUGACGGGGAAGGGC